rnacentral:rRNA from 1 species
CCUACGGGAGGCUGCAGUGGAGAAUAAUGCACAAUGGGGGAAACCCUGAUGGGGCGACGCCGCGUGGGGGAAUGAAGGUCUGCGGAUUGUAAACCCCUGUCAUGGGGGAGCAAAUUAAAAAGAUAGUACCACAAGAGGAAGAGACGGCUAACUCUGUGCCAGCAGCCGCGGUAAUACGGAGGUCUCGAGCGUUUUUCGGAAUCACUGGGCGUAAAGCGUUCGUAGGCUGUUUCGUAAGUCGUGUGUGAAAGGCGCGGGCUCAACCCGCGGACGGCACAUGAUACUGGGAGACUAGAGUAAUGGGGGGGGAACCGGAAUUCUGGGUGUAGCAGUGAAAUGCGUAGAUAUCGCGAGGAACACUGGUGGCGAAGGCGGGUUCCUGGACAUUAACUGACGCUGAGGCACGAAGGCCCGGGGAGCGAACAGGAUUAGAUACCCCUGUAGUC